rnacentral:lncRNA from 1 species
GCUCAGUGCCCUUGGGUUUAAUCCCUAGUACUAAUAAAUAAAUAGAUAGAUCUAGUUUGACCCCUUCAGAUUUAGCUACUGGAAACUUUAAACCUGCAUCUGCACUCUCAGGGUGUCUCUUUAUACCAGCUCUCAGAAAUGCCUCAAGAAAGUCUUCCUUAAAAAUUUAAAUGUAGUAACUUUGUGGGGAACCUGCAGACCCCUGAGGCAAUGGUGAGCUCCAGGUGUCCAUCAGCUUGAGCUUAUUCUAGACUUUGGCCCAGUUUUAAUAGGACAGAGGCCACUUAUGCCUUCAGGAAAAUCGGGGGGCUCUGGCGGAGGCCUGGGGUAAAGGUCAAACUCUCUCCUUCCCUCUCUCCUUCCCCCCAGGGUGACUUGGACACGAACAAUUUUCUGCAGUGACCAUCUGAGGAAGACUGCCUGGGUAUGGCAAGUAGGGAAGCAUUUCUUACUUCAAGAAGUUUUCAACCCAGAUAAGGUAGAAGAAACUACCCCCAGAUGCAAAAUGCAAUCAGGGCUUAACUACAAUUCAGAAGUAAAGGCUGCAACCCGCAGACUUCCGCUGAGGGCUCCUUUCACAUCUGAGCAUCAGUGGCUGCUGUGCCCACACAGAUCCCACAUCAGAAGGAGGAGGGCGCCUCCGAGGCAAGACAUGGACCCUCCACAGAUGACGGAACCAGCCCCCACAGAUCAUCUUCCUCCUCAUUCUCUAGCUGAUAUAUCUAGGAUCCUGCUAACCCUGCUGACCUGGACUGUGGAUCACCCCAUCAUCCUGUGCACGACAUUGACUCAUCCCUCAAAUAUUUCAGUGGUAUGGCUCUCUUUUUAAAU